rnacentral:rRNA from 1 species
UACAGAGGGGCAAGCGUUGUUCGGAAUCAUUGGGCGUAAGCGCGUGUAGGCGGUCCGGUAAGUCCGCUGUGAAAGUCCAGGGCUCAACCCUGGGAUGCCGGUCGAUACGCGCCGGACUAGAGUUCGGAAGAGGCGAGUGGAAUUCCCCGGUGUAGCGGUGAAAUGCGCAGAUAUCAGGAAGAACACCCGUGGCGAAGGCGGCUCUCUGGGACGGUACUGACGCUGAGACGCGAAAGCG